AGGCAAUAUUCACUCGUUAAACAGAUCUCCAUUCUCAACUGUUCUCUGAGGGGCGGGGGGGGGGUGGUGGGAGGCAGUAAAAUGAAGUCAACUCGGCAGAGCACACAGCAAAUAGAAUGAGAAUCUGGGCCUGGGGCUGUUUUCUUGUAGACGGAUUUAUGGAAGUGACUUUCUUCUCUGGCCCGGCAAGAAAACUGCUUUCUGGUUUACAGAACUUGGAUGUAACGGGAAUCCUCCCUUCCACCAGCACUGAAGAAGCACUUCCUUUGAAAGAAGAUUCUGGAAAUGUAGUGGAAGACCUUGCCAUCUCACAUCUACCACCUUGUCUACCCCGUUCCUCCUCUGGAGUGCCUGGUGGAGACAUGUGGAAAAGAGCUGGAAAGUGAGAAUAGAAUCCCAUUUAUCCACAGUAGCCCAACUAUAGUUAUUAAGGAGUUAUAGUACUGCUCACUGCUUCUGCCUGUGGUGUCUAUUUCUUCCCUCUUUGUCAAAGCCACUUUCAGGUGCCUUAGCCUCUUCCAGAUCCAAGCUUUCUGACUGACGUGUUUAAGAAAGUGAAAUAAAAGUUUGUAGACUACCCUA
rnacentral:lncRNA from 1 species